UACGGGGGGAGCAAGCGUUGUUCGGAUUUACUGGGCGUAAAGGGCGCGUAGGCGGCCACCGCAAGUCAAUUGUGAAAUCUCCGGGCUCAACCCGGAACGGUCAACUGAUACUGCGGGGCUAGAGUGCAGAAGGGGCAACUGGAAUUCUCGGUGUAGCGGUGAAAUGCGUAGAUAUCGAGAGGAACACCUGCGGCGAAGGCGGGUUGCUGGGCUGACACUGACGCUGAGGCGCGAAAGCUAGGGGAGCGAACGGG
rnacentral:rRNA from 1 species